UUGACAGGUGUACUAUGUUUAUGGCUUUAUGCUGCUGGUUUUUCUGAUUCUCAUUAUUGUUACGGUUUGUGUUACAAUUGUGGGCACGUAUUUCUUGCUAAAUGCUGAGAACUAUCACUGGCAGUGGACUUCAUUCUUCUCCGCUGCAUCAACAGCUGUCUACGUGUACUUGUAUUCAAUAUAUUACUACUAUGUGAAGACUAAGAUGUCAGGCUUCUUCCAGACCAGCUUCUAUUUUGGAUACAGUGGAGGAAUCAAAAUUUGUGAUUGAAGUCAAGACAAUCUAGAGAAUGGAGCUUCUUGGCCUUGGGUGGUGGAAAGUAUGGGUUAACCAUGUCAAAGUCAAUGUGCCUUUUGUUUAGAAACUUAUGUAUGGCACAGUUUUUGGACAGUUUAAAACUUUUUGGAUAAUUAAAAUUUAAGGAUAGUUUUUUUU